rfam:Triticum urartu cultivar G1812 contig358509, whole genome shotgun sequence.
UUAGUACUUUCUCCGUCUGAAAAUACUUGUCGGAAGAUGGAUGUAUCUAGAUGUAUUUUUGUUCUAAAUGCAUCCAUUUUCAUCAAUUUCUAUGACAAGUAUUUUCGAACGAUGGGAGUACUAA